rnacentral:pre_miRNA from 1 species
AGCUUUUCGAAUCCGUGCUGAGACUUCGUCCGACACCAAUCAAUUAGGUCUGAUCAGACUUCCAAAUAAGUGAAGUU